rnacentral:rRNA from 1 species
AGAUUGAACGCUGGCGGCGUGCCUAACACAUGCAAGUCGAGCGGCAGCGCGGUAGCAAUACUGGCGGCGAGCGGCGAACGGGUGAGUAAUACUUUGGAAUCUUCCCAGUAGUGGGGAAUAACCAGUCGAAAGAUUGGCUAAUACCGCAUACGUCUGAAAAGGGAAAGCGGGGGCUCGUAAGACCUCGCGCUAUUGGAUGAGCCAAAGUCGGAUUAGCUAGUUGGUGGGGUAAUGGCCUACCAAGGCGACAAUCCGUAGCUGGUCUGAGAGGACGACCAGCCACACCGGGAACUGAGACACGGUCCGGACUCCUACGGGAGGCAGCAGUGGGGAAUAUUGGACAAUGGGGGAAACCCUGAUCCAGCGACGCCGCGUGUGUGAGAAGGCCUGCGGGUUGUAAAGCGCGUUUUAGUGGGGACAAAAGCUACGGAUUAAUACUUCGUGGUCUUGAUUUUAACCCAAAGAAAAGCACCGGCUAACUCUGUGCCAGCAGCCGC